AGCGAACGCUGGCGGCAGGCUUAACACAUGCAAGUCGAGCGGGCAUCCUUGUGGUGUCAGCGGCAGACGGGUGAGUAACGCGUGGGAACGUGCCCUUCGGUUCGGAAUAACUCAGGGAAACUUGAGCUAAUACCGGAUACGUGCGAGAGCAGAAAGGUUUAUCUGCCGAAGGAUCGGCCCGCGUCUGAUUAGCUAGUUGGUGAGGUUAUGGCUCACCAAGGCGACGAUCAGUAGCUGGUCUGAGAGGAUGAUCAGCCACACUGGGACUGAGACACGGCCCAGACUCCUACGGGAGGCAGCAGUGGGGAAUAUUGGACGAUGGGGGCAACCCUGAUCCAGCCAUGCCGCGUGAGUGAUGACGGCCUUAGGGUUGUAAAGCUCUUUUCUCCGGGACGAUAAUGACGGUACCGGAGGAAUAAGCCCCGGCUAACUUCGUG
rnacentral:rRNA from 1 species